rnacentral:lncRNA from 1 species
CCUCUCAAGUAUGAGGGCGCGGGUUCGAUUCCAGGUCAGGCAAGUACCAACGCAACUUUUCUAAGUUUGUAUGUACUUUCUAAGUAUAUCCUGCAAUGACACCAAUGACUGUGUUUCGGAUGGCACGUUAAACUGUAGGUCCCGGGUAUCCUUGAACAUCCUUGGCAGUCGUUACGGGUAGUCAAAAGUCAGUAAGUCUCACACCAGUCUAACCAAGGGGUAUUGGAUAGGCAGUCGCUUCUUGUAAAGUACUGGUACUCGGCUGAAUCCGGUUAGAC